rnacentral:lncRNA from 1 species
GUCUCACCCAGUUGGCUGAAUGGAAAAGAGGUGUCCAGAAACGGAAUUAAAGACAAAAGUGCAACUCUGGUGUGAUUAUCUACGGAUAGAAGAUAAAGUCAGUCAAAGUGAUGCGGUUCUUUCUGUUUCUUCUGAAUGGACUGUUGUGCUGUUAUACAGUAGCAAUGGAAUCUUUGCUGGUCACUGGCACCAAUUACGGUAUUGGAGAGUUGUUUAUUAAGUAUCCACUACCUUUAUCAAGUGCCUGCCACUUCCAGGUACUUAAAAAGCACUGGAUACAAAAGAUGACUCAACAGGAACAUAUGGGACGAUAUCCUGGAUGGUUUCGAGGAUCAACUAGAACACACAGACUGACUACGCCGUGGACGUUUGUUUCACCUUCUGUAGUUCCUGUAGAGAACGCCAUCAGUCUAUCUUCUAAAUCAUCCCAAAAAGCAUAUCCAACUCACCACAAGUCUUUACACACCAUGCAGAAGUCAAAAGGAAUGAACAAUAUGGUUGAAUCUUAGGAAGAAAAUGUUGAAUUAGAAAGUGACAACUGCCCUGCUCUUCUGCUACCUGCUGAGAAGCUGAACCCGUUUUCCUGAGAAUUUCCGGAAUAAGCGGCCAGCCUGGCCACCGAGUGCUGACGAAAUGGCUCCAGGCACCAAGUGUGGAGCCGGCAGACUAGUGCUAACAACUUGGCAACAAUACAUCAAGAAGCCUGGCGGGGGUGGGUGGGGGGGGUGGGGGGGCGAUGGGCCUUCCCCCUUAUAAGCACGGUCUCUUAAUAAACUCGUGGGCCUUGAUCAGGA